GGAGCAGCCCUUAAGCUGGAAUGGCUUUAGAAAAACAAUCUGGAAAGAUUGGCCAUAGAAGGUGAUAGCCCUGUAUUUAAAAGGGCCACUCCAGUGAAGACGAGUAGGGCGGGGCACGUGAAACCCUGUCUGAAUAUGGGGGGACCAUCCUCCAAGGCUAAAUACUCCUGACCGACCGAUAGUGAACCAGUACCGUGAGGGAAAGGCGAAAAGAACCCCGGAGAGGGGAGUGAAAUAGAUCCUGAAACCGUGUGCGUACAAGCAGUAGGAGCUCGCAAGAGUGACUGCGUACCUUUUGUAUAAUGGGUCAGCGACUUACUGUUCGUGGCAAGCUUAACCGUAUAGGGGAGGCGAAGGGAAACCGAGUCUGAUAAGGGCGCAUAGUCGCGGGCAGUAGACCCGAAACCGGGUGAUCUAGUCAUGGCCAGGGUGAAGGUGCCGUAACAGGUACUGGAGGCCCGAACCCACGUCUGUUGCAAAAGACGGGGAUGAGCUGUGAUUAGGAGUGAAAAGCUAAUCGAACCCGGAGAUAGCUGGUUCUCCUCGAAAGCUAUUUAGGUAGCGCCUCAUAUGUAUCCUCUCGGGGGUAGAGCACUGUUAUGGCUAGGGGGUCAUCGCGACUUACCAAACCAUUGCAAACUCCGAAUACCGAGACGGACUGUAUGGGAGACACACGGCGGGUGCUAACGUCCGUCGUGAAAAGGGAAACAACCCAGACCCACAGCUAAGGUCCCAAAUUCACUGCUAAGUGGAAAACGAUGUGGAAAGGCAUAGACAGCCAGGAGGUUGGCUUAGAAGCAGCCACCCUUUAAAGAAAGCGUAAUAGCUCACUGGUCGAGUCGGUCUGCGCGGAAGAUUUAACGGGGCUAAGCAGUGAACCGAAGCUUGGGGUGCAUAAAACUUGUUUUAUGCGCGGUAGAGGAGCGUUCCGUAAGCCUGCGAAGGUGGAUUGAGAAGUCUGCUGGAGGUAUCGGAAGUGCGAAUGCUGACAUGAGUAACGAUAAUGCGGGUGAAAAGCCCGCACGCCGAAAGCCCAAGGUUUCCUUGCGCAACGUUAAUCGACGCAGGGUUAGUCGGUCCCUAAGGCGAGGGCGAAAGCCGUAGUCGAUGGGAAGCAGGUUAAUAUUCCUGCACCUCGCGUGAGUGCGAUGGAGGGACGGAGAAGGUUAGGUGUACCGGGCGUUGGUUGUCCCGGGGAAAGGCGGUAGGUUUGGAUCUUUGGCAAAUCCGGGAUCCUUUAAGACCGAGCACCGAGACGAGCCUUUUUGGCGAAGUCACUGAUACCACGCUUCCAGGAAAAGCUCCUAAGCUUCAGCUCACGAAGACCGUACCGUAAACCGA
rnacentral:rRNA from 1 species